ensembl:lncRNA
CUGGCUGUUUUCCCUCAAUGUGAGCCGGGUGAGACAUCAACAUCAGGCUACCGGGGAAAUAAACACGGCAACUCGAAACUGUUGAAGCCAUCAUAUUCAAAGGUGACUCCUCCGAUUGCAAAAAGAAUUCAGAUUGUGGAGGAGUCGAUGAAAAGUAUCUGAUUUUUUUACCCCAGUAAACAUUGCUGUAACACCUCUCUGCUACCCGUGUGGGUAUCUUUAUGCGCAAUGAUGCUUGUGUGUUCUCUCACACAAUUCAUUAUUUAUUUCUUAGUUUAUAUUCAGGCCUUGACUUUCACCCCUAGUCGUGUCUGCGCUUUGCUGACUGGUUGUUGGACCCGUACACUGUAACAGUCAUGUCAUGUACUGUAACAAACAGUUAAAUUUCCAUCCCUUGCUUGUAAAUUAACGGGCAAUGUCAUGAAUAAACAGUUAAAGCUGUCAAUUCACAAUAAUAGCAGACUACCGUAAUUCAACUGCAUGUUACAUAUACUUUCUGAAGUGGUGGAAAUGCAUUGCAUUGCAUGCAAGUGCAGUGAAUCACAAUCCAUCUACAUCUGUUGUAGGUUAAUUUAUGGAAGCCCAUGUCAGCCACUGAAAAACAGGUCCUGUAAGUCACCAUAAUGAUAUAGUAUCUCAUGCGAUACGAUGAUGACUGUGACUUAUAGGACAUUACUAUACAUGCAGCUGUCACUUUUAUCCAAAUGCCCAUGGUUUGACAUAAUUGUAUGUGGAGUAAUUGGGGUUAGGUGUCUUGCUCAGUGACACUUCAACAUGGCACAGGGAGCAGCCAGGAUUCGAACCGCCAACCUUGUGCUGCACAGCACACCCUCCCUAUCCCAUGCGCCGCCUUCGCUGUUCUUUCGUUCAUCCAGAACACCUGUGCAGUUCAACAUCGGAGGAGUUUCUCAUUGCCUCGUCUCUCCAAGAAACGUUGAGGCACUGGAUUAAAGACGCCAGCCGUUUGCUGCGGUCAAUUGAAAGUGUUCCAUAGCGUAUUUUUUGCAGUUAGUUUACCUUUACCUUAAUUCUAUGAUUCAUUUUUUUAUUAUUGUAUACAUGCUGCAUAUUUUAUUUUUAUUUUUGUUCUUGGUUACAAUUUUUGUCUUUAAAGGCAUCUAAUAAACUCGAACAACUAUGACCGAAAUGAUUUUGUUUGUCUUUUUUUAAUUUGUGGGGA